AUUUCAUUGCAACACCGUGGAGUUCUUAUCAUUCAGGCAUGGACACUGACACAUUUUGCAUUCAUUUUGCAAAGCUGGACUCUGUCAUGUAGGUUUUGAGUUAAUAAAGUAUCAAAAGGCAUGUAUUUGGCAUCAAAAAGUACGGCUGCUCCUCCCACUGUAACUAGGCAGGACAGCAAGACACCUUAUUAACUGGUUCAGUUCACCUAUGAAGACCCGAGAAGGGAGGCCGGGAUAUCCGAUGUCUUCACCAAGACGCCAGCGACUGCAGGCUCUGUCGUCCAUUAUUGUUUUCGGAAGCGCUGCCUAGUGAGUGGUUGAUGAAGCGCUCAGCAGGGCAUGUAAAUGCGCUGAAAUUUAGACAAAUUGAAAGGUUGAAAACUUUUAUGAUAACAUAUAGGGUGGUCUGGUGAGAGUACAAGAUUUUGUUAAGAAAAGAGCAAUACAUAUACAGAAGAAAAUAUGAGAUCUUAUUUGACCACCAGUUCAUUAUAUUUUAAUGACUAAAGGUCUGUAUUUGAAGGUAUUUUGUAACACUAAUCUGUUCACCAAAGUUAAGAACAACAUAUUUGCCAGAUCUUUUUUAUUGGUGAUUGAUACUGUAUCUGAAAAAAUAUCAGUUUAAUUUUGUAAACUUUUGAAACUGUCUUCCAAGCAAAGUAUAAAUGUAUAAAUAUAUCUGUAAUUGUCUCUUGAUUAAAACAUCAGUGUCAUUCCAUAUUAAUGGAGGGGUGGCUCAGUGCUGGGCUUUAUUAAGUAAUGUCAAGAAUGUGAUCAUGUUCCGCAUGCAAUCUCUUUCCAUCAGUGAAGUUUUUUUGUUAAUAAUUU